rnacentral:lncRNA from 1 species
CAUGCAUAUACAACCACAAGUUCACAAUGAGAUUAUCAUUAGGAUCUAGGACCAAAAUUCAGCAUGGAUUCGCCUUCACCUAAAGAGGAGAGAGACAGGGCUUGGGGAACCAAGCCACUCUUAUACAAUUGAUGGUGGAUUAUAGAAGGAUAGCCACAUCUCUUCCCUUGAUCUCUAAGAUCUUUAAUAUAGAUCUAUGGCCUUCAUUCAUCUAAGAGCCAAUUUCGUUAUUAAGGCUGAUGACUCUUGUAAGUGGUCAAGAAAGCACCUUUUGGUAAAUCUAACUUCACCAUUGUGUUCAAAACACCUUUUUAAGCUAGUAUUGACUACUUUCAUGCCUCAAUCCAUCUUCAAUUGUAAUUUUUAUGAAAGUUUUUACCCAUAAGGAUCUUGGCAAUUUUUGUAAAAUUUUUCAAAAUGAGAAUUUCAUCGCUCCACUUAUAUUUUGAAGUAGAGGAUGUUGAUCUUCUUUUCUUCACUCCACAUGAUGAAUCUAGUACUACUAUUACAUUAAAAUGCUUCCAUUAAUUAGAAGAACCACGAUGCGGCUUGAAUUUGUUGAAUUGGAAGAAAUUUCAAAAGUGUCAUUG